rnacentral:rRNA from 1 species
GAUGAACGCUGACAGAAUGCUUAACACAUGCAAGUCGAUGGGGAAGUGGUGCUUGCACCAUGGUAACCAUGGCGGACGGGUGAGUAACACGUAAGGAACUUACCUGCGGGACCGGGAUAACAGCAGGAAACUGCUGACAAGACCGGAUAAGGUCAUUAAGCUGCAUAGCUUAGUGAUGAAAGGAGACGCCUGCGGAGAGCCUUGCGUCCUAUUAGCUAGUUGGAGGGGUAACGGCCCACCAAGGCGAAGAUAGGUAGCCGGCCUGAGAGGGUGGACGGCCACAAGGGGACUGAGAUACGGCCCUUACUCCUACGGGAGGCAGCAGUGGGGAAUAGUGGACAAUGGGGGCAACCCUGAUCCAGCAAUUCUGUGUGCACGAAGACGGUUUUCGGAGUGUAAAGUGCUUUCAGCAGGGAAGAAGGAAGUGACGGUACCUGCAGAAGAAGCGACGGCUAAAUACGUG